UACGUAGGGGGCAAGCGUUGUCCGGAUUUAUUGGGCGUAAAGAGCGUGUAGGCGGCUAGGUAGGUCCGUUGUGAAAACUCGAGGCUCAACCUCGAGACGUCGAUGGAAACCAUCUAGCUAGAGUCCGGAAGAGGAGAGUGGAAUUCCUGUGUAGCGGUGAAAUGCGCAGAUAUCAGGAAGAACACCCGUGGCGAAGGCGGCUCUCUGGUACGUGACUGACGCUGAGACGCGAAAGCGUGGGGAGCGAACAGG
rnacentral:rRNA from 1 species